UUGCGGCCCCGGCCAUCCGCACCGGCCCGGCAGGCUGCCCCAAGCUGCUGGUCCCCCCUGGGCUGCACCACCAGCAGGCCCUCCCCCCCACCAAGCCCCAGGACCUUCCCCUCGACUACACCAAAGAGGAGGAGCCUGUCCUCCUCAAGACCGGGGAGGGCGCUGAGCUCCAGGUGCGGAAAUACAGCGUCAUCGACGACCUACACAGAGGGCGCUUCUCGUGUGUGGGGCGCCGAAUCUGUGUAUCAUACA